GAUGAACGCUAGCUACAGGCUUAACACAUGCAAGUCGAGGGGAAACGAUAGAGAAAGCUUGCUUUUUCUAGGCGUCGACCGGCGCACGGGUGAGUAACGCGUAUCCAACCUGCCCAUCACUUGGGGAUAACCUUGCGAAAGUAAGACUAAUACCCAAUGACGUCUCUAGAAGACAUCUGAAAGGGAUUAAAGAUUUAUCGGUGAUGGAUGGGGAUGCGUCUGAUUAGCUUGUUGGCGGGGUAACGGCCCACCAAGGCGACGAUCAGUAGGGGUUCUGAGAGGAAGGUCACCCACAUUGGAACUGAGACACGGUCCAAACUCCUACGGGAGGCAGCAGUGAGGAAUAUUGGUCAAUGGACGAGAGUCUGAACCAGCCAAGUAGCGUGCAGGAUGACGGCCCUAUGGGUUGUAAACUGCUUUUAUAAGGGAAUAAACUGAGAGUCGUGACUCUUUUUGCAUGUACCUUAUGAAUAAGGACCGGCUAAUUCCGUGCCAGCCGCCGCCGUAA
rnacentral:rRNA from 1 species